rnacentral:rRNA from 1 species
CACGUAGGGACCAAGCGUUGUUCGGAUUUACUGGGCGUAAGGCGGCGUAGGCGGCAAUUCAAGUCAUCUGUGAAAUCUCCGGGCUUAACCCGGAACGGUCAGGUGAUACUGUUUUGCUAGAGUGCGGAAGGGGCAAUCGGAAUUCUCGGUGUAGCGGUGAAAUGCGUAGAUAUCGAGAGGAACACCAGAGGUGAAGACGGGUUGCUGGGCCGACACUGACGCUGACAGCGCGAAAGCCAGGGGAGCAAACGGG